UCCCUGAUAGCUCAGUUGGUAGAGAAUCUGCCUGCAAUUCAGGAGACCCUGGUUUGAUUCCUGGGUCGGGAA
rnacentral:tRNA from 1 species